rnacentral:rRNA from 1 species
GAUGUUAAAAUGGCGAAAUCCAACCAAGCUCGGGUAAACGGCGGGAGUAACUAUGACUCUCUUAAGGUAGCCAAAUGCCUCGUCAUCAUACACAUAACAUGCCGGAAAACAGGCCAGUACUGGGGUUUCCUGGGGGUCAGAGGGGGGGGGGGNNNNNNAACCCCCUUCUCCAGCCUCUGGGGGGCCUUGGGAAAGACUUGACCGGCUGUUGGAUUCCCUGCGUCGCCGCGGUCAGUCACAAAUGUUGCUUGGAGUGGACGCCUCUGCCUGCCCGACGGGGUGGGUGGGGGUUGAAACAAAGAGUGACCGAACCCAGUAGGGGCGGGCGCAAGCCUGCCUCUCGUGCCAAAUUGCGGGGAGCCCCUCGGGGCGACCGGCAGCCAAGCCUUCGGAAUGUCGCUGCCCCUCACGGGGUGGCUUCGGACUGGGGGAAGGUCCAGAGACUGUAGGGCACUAGGCUGGGGGGCGGGGGAACCGGGGGGCAACCCCUGGGGAUCCUGCCUCCCUACCGACAGUAACAGUCCACCGCCAGAAUGUGAAAGCUUGAGCGAGUGGCUUGCUCCCUACCCCCUCCCCCGGGGGUGUUGGGGGCAUUGGCCAGAGGCUCUAAUGCCCAGUAGCAUUCGAUUAGGUGUUAAUUUGUGACGCGCAUGAAUGGAUUAAUGAGAUUCCCACUGUCCCUACCUACUAUCUAGCGAAACCACAGCCAAGGGAACGGGCUUGGCACAAUUAGCGGGGAAAGAAGACCCUGUUGAGCUUGACUCUAGGCACAAACGCGAGGUGAUUCUAAAGGUGUAGCAUAGGUGGGAGGGCCUGGCCCGACCUUGAAAUACCACCACUUUCGACAUUGCCUUGCUAAUGCUGUAACAAAUGGACGGUCCCCCUUCGUGUCGGCUCCUCACGGGGUCGGCUGUCGGGUAAGAUCAUGUUCUGGCGUUUUCCCGGUUCGUCAUGAUGGCUUGGCUACCCUGGAUAAGUACCCUAGGGCCGCAACGUGGGCUUCCGGGCUCGCAGCGCGUUGUUCUUGGGGGAACUGGGGAUCGCUGGGUUGUCCUCUGGCGGGCGUUAACGGGGUACAUAAGUAGUGUAGCAGACUAUUUGUGUUAGGGAGUUUGGCUGGGGCGGAAAAACUGCUACACGGCAACGGCAGUCUCCUAAGGUCCACUCAGAGACGACAGAAACGUCUCGUAGAGCAUAAGGGCAAAAGUGGGCUUAACUCACAUUUUCAGUAGUAAUGUGAAGCAAGAAAUUGAGGCCUAACGAUCCUUAACGGCGGGUGCCAGCCCACGUUUGAGGUGAGAGAAAAGUUACCACAGGGAUUGAUCAACCAAGGGAGUCCCAAGGGCGAAACUCGGGGGGGUUUGGCAUGCAACCAUUCCCUCCUGGGCAGUAGCCCUUAGUCCCCAGACUCGGCGGUAAUGCAGGUUUCCGCCUUGUCGACAGUGGGGCAACGUACCUAGAUGCUGGGAAAGCCUAUACCAAACGACUUCAGUACCAGGCGUUCCGCGGUCACACCGUGGCGCAGAGAGAAGCGGGCGUGCCUACCCUGGCGUGCUCGUGGAUCGGGUUAUAAUCUGAGGAUCGGGGCCCACUAGCAGACAACAAGGCCAUCCAAGCCACUCAGAGGGAUCCAUAGCGGUCCUUCGCCUGUGGUAUGGUAACGGUGGUUAAGUGUUCCAACGACUGGGAAGGUACGGGUGUCGGGUUUCGGGGUCUGAAGAGUGCUGAUUCCUGCCUCGCAAGGGGCUGGGGAGAGGUGCCAAGGGUCUCGUUAGCCGUGCUCAAGGAACAGUCUACCCCCACCUGAAAGGGUGCUCGGGGUCCUACCUCCUACUGCAAGGGGGUUGGGGCUCUGGGGGGGGAGGUCCUCCUAGGAGGCUUCCCCCGGUACUCGGGAACUGGCUUGUGGCCGCCAAGCGUUCAUAGCGACGUGGCUUUUUGAUCCUUCGAUGUCGGCUCUUCC